GCUCAGAAACUCAAAGGAAUUGACGGGGCCCGCACAAGCGGUGGAGUAUGUGGUUUAAUUCGAUGCAACGCGAAGAACCUUACCUGGUCUUGACAUCCCGGAGACCCUUAGGAAACUAGGGGGUGCUUCCAUCUGGAAGAAUCUGGAGACAGGUGCUGCAUGGCUGUCGUCAGCUCGUGUCGUGAGAUGUUGGGUUAAGUCCCGCAACGAGCGCAACCCUUGCCUUUAGUUGCCAGCAGUUCGGCUGGGCACUCUAAAGGGACUGCCGGUGUUAAACCGGAGGAAGGUGGGGAUGACGUCAAGUCCUCAUGGCCUUUAUGACCAGGGCUACACACGUACUACAAUGGCCGAUACAAAGGGCAGCGACACUGCGAGGUGAAGCCAAUCCCGUAAAAUCGGUCUCAGUCCGGAUUGGAGUCUGCAACUCGACUCCAUGAAGUUGGAAUCGCUAGUAAUCGUGGAUCAGCAUGCCACGGUGAAUACGUUCCCGGGCCUU
rnacentral:rRNA from 1 species